AUUGUGAAUUUAAGAACAUUAAAAAAAAUAAUUGUACCGCUCGAUCAAAUUGUUGUACAACACCAAAAUACAACAAUUCAAUCUACCAACAAAAUACAUCAAUUCCUCCGAAUCAACAAUCAAAAUACAUCAAAAUAUUAUCCGAAUCAAUUCAAUCAACAAUCAAAAUACAACAAUUCCUUCGAAUCAACAAUCUCAGCAUUCAAUCUCUGAAUCAACAAUCUCAACAAUAAUAAAAAAAACAAAUACUACAUUGGGAAUGAUUCGUAAUUAAUGCUCUGCUCUCUUUUAAUUCCAAACAAAAUUGUGAAUGAUUAGAAAUACCAAAUAGUUUUCAAUCUCCUUUUUUUUUCUCUCUAUUAACUUCCUUAUUUCUCCAAGGCUGCGUCUACUGCAGAUCCGGUGAUAAUCAACCGCAACUCAAUUAGAUGAUGGUGCCUCUUUCGCUCGCUGCUUCCACCGCAUCGACGACAAGGACGGUGGAAGAACCCCUCGCCGCUGCUGUAGAUUCGACUAAUUAAAUUGGCGCUGAAGCUUCUGUCGGAGAUCUUCUCAUUGAAGCGGAACCAAGUGAAGGCGGUGCAGGGCAGCGCGGCGGCGGCGCUGGCGUUGGACGGUUCCUUUUUUCCCCUCGCUCUCCCCUCUAUCUCCUCUCAAAUCCAGUACCCCUCAGACGGUUUCUUAUUUGCACCCAAUCAUCAAUCUCGUCAGCCCUAGAAUGCCCUAAUUCACGACCAGAUUCCCGAUUGAAGCUCCCUUGACGGUUUCGUUCGGCCACGGAUGGAGAGAGAUAAGGGUAGAGGUGAGGGCGACUGGAUUUGGGGGAGCUAGGGCUCAGCGCCGGAGCUCGAGCAGAGAGGGAGUUGUUGAGGGCGGCGGCUGUAGUAGGAGCUAUGGUCGCCGGAGGAGAUGAGAAAGAUGGAGAACGACGGCGAUUUUGCAGGACAAGCUGCCUGGCCAUGAAUUUCAGGCGGCGGCGGCCUCGCCAUGAAUUUGAGUGUGUGUGUUUCGUUCGAUUUGGAUUUGAGAUGGGGAGAGAGAGGAUUGACUGAUUUUUGACUGGCCAUUUUU
rnacentral:lncRNA from 1 species